rnacentral:tRNA from 1 species
UUUUAAUAGCUUAUAUAGAGUAUAAUAUUGAAGAUAUUAGGGAAGUAAAUUACUUUAAAAUAUGUAU